CAGAUAAGCCCUGCAUGUCUAAGUAUAAGCAACUAUACGGUGAAACUGCGAAUGGCUCAUUAAAUCAGUUAUCGUUUAUUUGAUAGUACCUUACUACAUGGAUAACCGUGGUAAUUCUAGAGCUAAUACAUGCUAAAAACCUCGACUUCGGAAGGGGUGUAUUUAUUAGAUAAAAAACCAAUGCCCUUCGGGGCUCCUUGGUGAAUCAUAAUAACUUAACGAAUCGCAUGGCCUUGCGCCGGCGAUGGUUCAUUCAAAUUUCUGCCCUAUCAACUUUCGAUGGUAGGAUAGUGGCCUACCAUGGUAUCAACGGGUAACGGGGAAUUAGGGUUCGACUCCGGAGAGGGAGCCUGAGAAACGGCUACCACAUCCAAGGAAGGCAGCAGGCGCGCAAAUUACCCAAUCCCGACACGGGGAGGUAGUGACAAUAAAUACUGAUACAGGGCUCUUUUGGGUCUUGUAAUUGGAAUGAGUACAAUUUAAAUCCCUUAACGAGGAACAAUUGGAGGGCAAGUCUGGUGCCAGCAGCCGCGGUAAUUCCAGCUCCAAUAGCGUAUAUUAAAGUUGUUGCAGUUAAAAAGCUCGUAGUUGAACCUUGGGCCUGGCUGGCCGGUCCGCCUCACCGCGUGUACUGGUCCGGCCGGGCCUUUCCUUCUGGGGAACCUCAUGCCCUUCACUGGGCGUGUUGGGGAACCAGGACUUUUACUUUGAAAAAAUUAGAGUGUUCAAAGCAGGCCUUUGCUCGAAUACAUUAGCAUGGAAUAAUAGAAUAGGACGUGUGGUUCUAUUUUGUUGGUUUCUAGGACCGCCGUAAUGAUUAAUAGGGAUAGUCGGGGGCAUCAGUAUUCAAUCGUCAGAGGUGAAAUUCUUGGAUUGAUUGAAGACUAACUACUGCGAAAGCAUUUGCCAAGGAUGUUUUCAUUAAUCAGUGAACGAAAGUUAGGGGAUCGAAGACGAUCAGAUACCGUCGUAGUCUUAACCAUAAACUAUGCCGACUAGGGAUCGGACGGUGUUAGUAUUUUGACCCGUUCGGCACCUUACGAGAAAUCAAAGUUUUUGGGUUCUGGGGGGAGUAUGGUCGCAAGCUGAACUAG
rnacentral:rRNA from 1 species